AUUGAACGCUGGCGGCAUGCCUUACACAUGCAAGUCGAGCGGUAACAGGUUAAGCUGACGAGUGGCGAACGGGGGAGUAAUGUAUCGGAACGUGCCCAGUCGUGGGGGAUAACUGCGCGAAAGAGCAGCUAAUACCGCAUACGACCUGGGGGUGAAAGCGGGGGAUCGCAAGACCUCGCGCGAUUGGAGCGGCCGAUCACAGAUUAGGUAGUUGGUGAGGUAAAGGCUCACCAAGCCGACGAUCUGUAGCUGGUCUGAGAGGACGACCAGCCACACUGGGACUGAGACACGGCCCAGACUCCUACGGGAGGCAGCAGUGGGGAAUUUUGGACAAUGGGCGCAAGCCUGAUCCAGCCAUGCCGCGUGCGGGAAGAAGGCCUUCGGGUUGUAAACCGCUUUUGUCAGGGAAGAAAAGGUUCUGGCUAAUACCUGGGACUCAUGACGGUACCUGAAGAAUAAGCACCGGCUAACUACGUG
rnacentral:rRNA from 1 species